AACCAUUCUCACCUGCGGCUAGACCUGCGGAAGGAUCAUUAACGAAUAUCUAUGGCGUUGGUUGUAGCUGGCUCCUAGGAGCAUUUGUGCACGCCCGUCAUUCAUAUCAUCUUUCCACCUGUGAACUAUGUGUAGGCCUGGAUACCUCUCGCUUUGGAAUCGAAGCGGAUGCAAGGAUUGCUGUGUCGACAAGGCCGGCUCUCUUUGAAUUUCCAGGUUCUAUGUCUUUUUACACACCCC
rnacentral:misc_RNA from 1 species